GGGUGAGUAAUACAUAAGCAAUCUGCCCAUCGGCCUGGGAUAACAGUUGGAAACGACUGCUAAUACCGGAUAGGUGAUGAAGAGGCAUCUCUUGAUCAUUAAAGUUGGGAUACAACACGGAUGGAUGAGCUUAUGGCGUAUUAGCUAGUAGGUGAGGUAACGGCUCACCUAGGCGAUGAUACGUAGCCGACCUGAGAGGGUGACCGGCCACAUUGGGACUGAGACACGGCCCAAACUCCUACGGGAGGCAGCAGUAGGGAAUUUUCGGCAAUGGGCGAAAGCCUGACCGAGCAACGCCGCGUGAGUGAAGAAGGCCUUCGGGUUGUAAAGCUCUGUUGUGAAGGAAGAACGGCUCAUACAGGGAAUGGUAUGGGAGUGACGGUACUUUACCAGAAAGCCACGGCUAACUACGUGCCAGCAGCCGCGGUAAUACGUAGGUGGCGAGCGUUAUCCGGAAUUAUUGGGCGUAAAGGGUGCGCAGGCGGUUUUUUAAGUUUAAGGUGAAAGCGUGGGGCUUAACCCCAUAUAGCCUUAGAAACUGAGAGACUAGAGUACAGGAGAGGGCAAUGGAAUUCCAUGUGUAGCGGUAAAAUGCGUAGAUAUAUGGAGGAACACCAGUGGCGAAGGCGGUUGCCUGGCCUGUAACUGACGCUCAUGCACGAAAGCGUGGGGAGCAAAUAGGAUUAGAUACCCUAGUAGUCCACGCCGUAAACGAUGAG
rnacentral:rRNA from 1 species